AGUUUAAGAAAUAAGGACCCGCCAGGCGGGCCUAGGUGUGGUAUAAUUUAAUAAUUCUAUGUAAAUAACGAGUUAACAUUGGUUAUUUUUAAUAAAACUAUUAAUAAAAUAAGUAUCAAAUAAUGAUAUGUAAUGUAUUACCAAGAUGAAAAAGGGACUAUCGGGGAUGACUAGCCAAUACAUCCAAAGGAGGUAGUUUAUACCAAAAUUCGUAAUGAAUGAUUUAAUAAUUACGAAAAUCCUAAGGGAAACCAAUAUAAUAAUAACUCUACGAACUGAAACAUCUAAGUAGUAGAAGGAAAAGAAAUCAACCGAGAUCCCGUUAGUAGUGGUGAGCGAAAGCGGGUUAGCCUAUUUUCUAACGGAAUGGUUUACCAUUCCGUGAAUUUCCAUCUUUGGUGGAAAUUAAAAUUAAAUUAUAAUUUGUCUGGAAUGACAAACCAUAGAGGGUGAAAGUCCCGUAAUAAGAUAAAUUAGAAAAGUAGUAAGUAAGAUGAGAGAUAACUUGUCUGAAUAUAGGGGAACCAUCCUCUAAGGCUAAAUAUGAUGUAUUGAGCGAUAGUGAAGAGUACCGUGAGGGAAAGUUGAAAAGUAAGUAGGUAACUGGUGAAAAGAUCCUGAACCGGUAGUUCUAUAAGCAGCAGGAAUCUGAGUUUAAAUACAAGAUAACUGCGUACCUUUUGCAUAAUGGGUCAGCGAGUUAAUCUGUGGUGCAAGUAGAAAUACUUAGCGAAAGCGACUACGUUAAAUGGGUAAGUACCAUGGAUUAGACCCGAAACCAGGUGAUCUUACCAUGACCAGGUCAUUAAGGACCGAACCAGUGCCUGUGGCAAUAGGCUUGGAUGAGUUGUGGUAAGGGGUGAAAGGCCAAUCUAACCUGGAGAUAGCUGGUAUUCCGCGAAACAUAUUUUGGUAAGUUGUCCUUCGUAUCUGUAAACUGGUACAGCACUGGAUACUAUGUCCCUUGUGGACUUGAUUGGGGGGUCGUGAUGGCUCUAUCAAUAGAAUCGGUUAUUUAACCGAUUCCCAAACAUUUAUUGUUUGGGAAUCUAACCUCGGAAUGGUUUACAGUUAAUAAAGGACGGUCAGACUAUAGGUGCUAAGGUCUUUAGUCGAGAGGGAAACAGCCCAGAACAAGAAUUAAGGUCCCUAAAUACUACUAAGUGAAAUUAAGGUAGUCCAUGAAAUUACACAACCAUUCGGUGGGCUUGGAAGCAGCCAUCCGUUAAUGAAAGCGUAAUAGCUCAAUGGUCUGUAUUUAUAAGUUUCAAGGGCACCGACAAUGUAUCGGGUCUAAGUAGUAUACCGAGAUCUUGUCCCAACAUUAUAAAGAAUGUUGGAGGGUAGCGGAACACUCAGGACAUGGUUGAAGGAUAGGGUUUCCUUAUCUGGACAUAACUGAGGAGAGAAUGCUGACAUGAGUAACGUAAAAGUGGAUAAAAUCCCACUCGCCGAAAGCAGAAGGGUUUCAUGGCUAGGCUCAACCUCCAUGAGUAAAGUAACGGCCUCUAAGAUUUUUAAAGCUCUAUAUGAGUGAACUCCGAUAGGAGUAAUCGAUGAGAAAAACUAAUUUAGAUAACAGUUUUAAUAUUAAUCUAUAUCAGUAAUGGUGUAGUAUUAGUUUAAAAUUCAGGAAAUGAUCUAAUUAUUUAACCGUACCCUAAACCGACACUGGUCUGCUGGUAGAAUAUACCAAGGCGUUGAGCGAAUCAUCUUGAAGGAACUCGGCAAAAUGACUCCGUAACUUCGGGAGAAGGAGUACGAUUUUUAUGAUCGUGGCACAGAAUAGAAGAGUACGACUGUUUACUUAAAACACCGGUCUUUGCUAAUAGGAAACUAGAUGUAUAAAGACUGAUACCUGCUCAGUGCUGGUAAGUCAAGAGAGGCACUAAUACGGUGCUGAUUGAACCUCCAGUAAACAGCGGUUGUAACUAUAACGAUCCUCAGGUAGCGAAAUACCUUGGCCACUAAUUAUGGUCGCGCAUGAAUGGUUUAACGAUACUCUUACUGUCUCCAAGAUGAGCUCAGUGAAAUUGAAUUAUCCGUGCAGAUGCGGAUUACCAUUAGCUAGACGGGAAGACCCUAUGCAGCUUUACUGUAGUUAGUCAUUGUGUGCUUAUAAUUAAGGUGUAGAAUACAAGGGAGUCGAUUAGACAUCAGUGAAAUACCUUGACUUGAUUAGGAGCACGCUAUACGGAAUUAUUCCGGACAGUGAUUAAUGGGCAGUUUAUCUGGGGCGGAUUUCUCCCAUAUAGUACCGGAGAAGUACAAAGGUCGGCUUAAAUUGGAUGGAAACCAAUGGGCUAAAGAUAGCCUAAUUAAGUGUAAUGGCAUAAGCCGGCUUAACUGUAAGACUGACAAGUCAUACAGAUACGCAAGUAGGUCAUAGUGAUCCGGUGGUCCAUCAUGGAAUGGCCAUCGCUCAACGAAUAAAAGCUACGCUAGGGAUAACAGGCUGAUCAAUCUCGAGAGUCCAUAUUGACAGAUUGGUUUGGCACCUCGAUGUCGACUCAUCACAUCCUGGGGGUGUAGGCGCUCCCAAGGGUUCGGCUGUUCGCCGAGUAAAGUGGUACGUGAGUUGGGUUAAGUACGUCGUGAGACAGUACGGUUCCUAUCUACUAAUGGAAUUAGAAUCGGACAAGAACAUUACUCUAGUACGAGAGGACCGAGUGAUAUGAACCUCUGGUAUACCUGUUAUUGUUUACUACCUAUUUUAGGUCUGUUACAGUACGGCAGGAAAGCUACGUUCAGAAAGGAUAACUGCUGAUAGCGUCUUAAGCGGGAAGCCCAUCUUGACACGAUUCUUUAUUAGAGUGACUGUAGAUCACAGUCUUAAUAGGUUGCAGGUGUAAGCAUAGUAAUAUGUUAAGCUGGGCAAUACUAAAUUCUCAAGUAACUUGGUAAU
rnacentral:rRNA from 1 species